UACGUAGGGGGCAAGCGUUAUCCGGAAUUACUGGGUGUAAAGGGAGCGUAGACGGUAAUGUAAGUCUGGAGUGAAAGGCGGGGGCUCAACCCCCGGACUGCUCUGGAAACUGUACGGCUGGAGUGUAGGAGAGGUAAGUGGAAUUCCUAGUGUAGCGGUGAAAUGCGUAGAUAUUAGGAGGAACACCAGUGGCGAAGGCGGCUUACUGGACUGUAACUGACGUUGAGGCUCGAAAGCGUGGGGAGCAAACAGG
rnacentral:rRNA from 1 species